CAGUAGCCGCGGGAAUACGGAGGGUGCAAGCGUUACUCGGAAUCACUGGGCGUAAAGGACGCGUAGGCGGAUUAUCAAGUCUCUUGUGAAAUCUAACGGCUUAACCGUUAAACUGCUUGGGAAACUGAUAAUCUAGAGUAAGGGAGAGGCAGAUGGAAUUCUUGGUGUAGGGGUAAAAUCCGUAGAGAUCAAGAAGAAUACCCAUUGCGAAAGCGAUCUGCUGGAACUUAACUGACGCUAAUGCGUGAAAGCGUGGGGAGCAAACAGGAUUAGAUACCCCCGUAGUCCCUGUCUCUUAUAC
rnacentral:rRNA from 1 species